AUUGAACGCUGGCGGCAUGCCUUACACAUGCAAGUCGAACGGUAACAGGUCUUCAGAUGCUGACGAGUGGCGAGCGGGUGAGUAAUACAUCGGAACGUGCCCAGACGUGGGGGAUAACGAGGCGAAAGCUUUGCUAAUACCGCAUACGAUCUAAGGAUGAAAGCAGGGGACCGCAAGGCCUUGCGCGUUUGGAGCGGCCGAUGGCAGAUUAGGUAGUUGGUGGGAUAAAAGCUUACCAAGCCGACGAUCUGUAGCUGGUCUGAGAGGACGACCAGCCACACUGGGACUGAGACACGGCCCAGACUCCUACGGGAGGCAGCAGUGGGGAAUUUUGGACAAUGGGCGAAAGCCUGAUCCAGCAAUGCCGCGUGCAGGAUGAAGGCCUUCGGGUUGUAAACUGCUUUUGUACGGAACGAAAAGGCUCUGGCUAAUACCUGGGGCACAUGACGGUACCGUAAGAAUAAGCACCGGCUAACUACGU
rnacentral:rRNA from 1 species